CCAUGUUUAAAUGGAUCGAAUGUGGUCGAAAACUAGAUGACAAUCUGCAGGAUCAAGCUGUUUUGGUGCAGACCUUAACAGAAACUGGAAUUACAAAUGGAUACGUAAGUUUGCAUUAAAAAAAAAACAAUUUUUUUCGUGCUUUUAUUGAUAUUAUGUUCUGAUUUCGUAUAUAGAAGUCGGCGCCAGCAAUGAUUCGUGCGACCAAAGAUAUGCAGGAGCCGAACCUUUUUCCGAAAUCGAAUCGAAAACCUUGUCCGAAUGCAUGCUGUCAAUUAAAGAUAAAUUAUUUUGUUUCAUAAGCUUCCAUAGCUUUGCUCAACUUAUUAUGGUACCUUACGCCUACACCAAGGAGCAUCUUGAUAACUAUAACGAAACGUAUUCGAUUGUCUGGUUCAGUAUUCGAUGAUAUGGUAGUAAAUACACUCCUGGAUCUUUGGCUGAAACCAUGUAUCCAGUUUCCGGUGUAUCCGUGGACUGGGCAAAGGCAGUAUUGAAAUCGCCAUUAGCUUUUGUUUAUCAACUCCGCGAUCGAGGUGAUUUCGGAAUGUUCCACCAGAGCAAAUUAUUCCGACUGGUCAAGAGGUGGUCGAUUCUUUGAUCGUUCUUUUUGAAGAAGGUAGAACAUUGGGAUACUCUUAGUCGCAAUACGUUUUUAGGCACGACCGCGACACGGAAGUCCCUUAUAGUUUCGUCAUCGAAAAAUGUGUGAGAUGCGAUAUCUCACGCAAUUUUCGA